AUGCUUCCCGGCAUGAUUGGCUUACCGGGUGUUCGGGCGUUCUUUGCUGGGAGAGAGAGGAGGCCAAUGGAGACACACGAAUCUGGCGGUCGAGGGCGCCGGCGACCUGCAAGUUGUUUGCAUUGCUGGCGGCUAGGAAGAGGUGUUGGAUGGCAUACAAGCUUGUGCGACGAUAGCUAUCAUACCCUUCGGCUUGUCCAUUCGGUGAUCAAGCAUCGGAAACAAUCAACCACAUCCUGCAUGGCUGUGUCUAAGCUAUGCAAGUGUAGCUCACCAUCCUCGACCACUGGGACAAACCAACAUGGCUACCAAAGUGUGGAUGCCAGUAUGAUGGAAUGGGGGACCUCCAUAAAUCCACAACCAAAGCUCAAUUUGGAGACAUGA
rnacentral:rRNA from 1 species